rnacentral:rRNA from 1 species
UACAGAGGGUGCAAGCGUUGUUCGGAAUCAUUGGGCGUAAAGAGCUCGUAGGCGGUUUGUCGCGUCUGCUGUGAAAUCCCGAGGCUCAACCUCGGGUCUGCAGUGGGUACGGGCAGACUGGAGUGCGGUAGGGGAGAAUGGAAUUCCUGGUGUAGCGGUGGAAUGCGCAGAUAUCAGGAGGAACACCGGUGGCGAAGGCGGUUCUCUGGGCAUGACCUGACGCUGAGGAGCGAAAGCAUGGGGAGCGAACAGGA